rnacentral:rRNA from 1 species
UACGUAGGGGGCAAGCGUUGUCCGGAAUCAUUGGGCGUAAAGCGCGUGUAGGCGGCUCGAUAAGUCUGCUGUGAAAGUCCAGGCUCAACCCUGGGAUGCCGGUGGAUACUGUCGAGCUCGAGUCCGGAAGAGGCGAGUGGAAUUCCUGGUGUAGCGGUGAAAUGCGCAGAUAUCGGGAGGAACACCAAUGGCGAAGGCAGCUCGCUGGGACGGUACUGACGCUGAGACGCGAAAGCGUGGGGAGCAAACAGG